UACGUAGGUCCCGAGCGUUGUCCGGAUUUAUUGGGCGUAAAGCGAGCGCAGGUGGUUUAUUAAGUCUGGUGUAAAAGGCAGUGGCUCAACCAUUGUAUGCAUUGGAAACUAGUAGACUUGAGAGCAGGAGAGGAGAGUGGAAUUCCAUGUGUAGCGGUGAAAUGCGUAGAUAUAUGGAGGAACCCCGGUGGCGAAAGCGGCUCUCUGGCCUGUAACUGACACUGAGGCUCGAAAGCGUGGGGAGCAAACAGG
rnacentral:rRNA from 1 species